rnacentral:rRNA from 1 species
UGCGCAGGUGGGCUUAUAAGUCAGUGGUGAAAUACUGCCGCUUAACGGUAGAACUGCCAUUGAUACUGCAAGUCUUGAGUAUGGUUGAGGUAGGCGGAAUGUGUUGUGUAGCGGUGAAAUGCAUAGAUAUGACACAGAACUCCAAUUGCGAAGGCAGCUUACUAAGCCAUUACUGACGCUGAGGCACGAAAGCGUGGGGAGCGAACAGGAUUAGAUACCCUGGUAGUCC